UGCCAGCAGCCGCGGUAAUACGGAGGGGGUUAGCGUUGUUCGGAAUUACUGGGCGUAAAGCGCGCGUAGGCGGAUUGGAAAGUCAGGGGUGAAACCCCGAGGCUCAACCUCGGAACUGCCUUUGAUACUGUUGGUCUUGAGUUCGAGAGAGGUGAGUGGAAUUCCGAGUGUAGAGGUGAAAUUCGUAGAUAUUCGGAGGAACACCAGUGGCGAAGGCGGCUCACUGGCUCGAUACUGACGCUGAGGUGCGAAAGCGUGGGGAGCAAACAGGAUUAGAUA
rnacentral:rRNA from 1 species